rnacentral:rRNA from 1 species
AUUGAACGCUGGCGGCAGGCCUAACACAUGCAAGUCGAGCGGAUGAAGGGAGCUUGCUCCUGGAUUCAGCGGCGGACGGGUGAGUAAUGCCUAGGAAUCUGCCUGGUGGUGGGGGAUAACGUCCGGAAACGGGCGCUAAUACCGCAUACGUCCUGAGGGAGAAAGUGGGGGAUCUUCGGACCUCACGCUAUCAGAUGAGCCUAGGUCGGAUUAGCUAGUUGGUGGGGUAAAGGCCUACCAAGGCGACGAUCCGUAACUGGUCUGAGAGGAUGAUCAGUCACACUGGAACUGAGACACGGUCCAGACUCCUACGGGAGGCAGCAGUGGGGAAUAUUGGACAAUGGGCGAAAGCCUGAUCCAGCCAUGCCACGUGUGUGAAGAAGGUCUUCGGAUUGUAAAGCACUUUAAGUUGGGAGGAAGGGCAGUAAGUUAAUACCUUGCUGUUUUGACGUUACCAACAGAAUAAGCACCGGCUAACUUCGUG